UCGAAGGCUGCUAAACAUAGACUGUGGCCCUUCGGAAGGCAGUCAAAGCAAUAGACAGACCUGAAAUAAAUGGAUGAGAGCAGCAUGACUGGGGCUGACAGGAAGUGAAGACUGGAGACUUCAAAUACAAACAUUAUGAAAAACAAGCAACAUCUGCAAACAGAAUAGAAGAGAAGACAUAAUGCUGAGGACCUUCUAUAUUUCUCAGUCCAUCUGAUAUGUGGCUCUGAACUCCACUAACAUCCAACUUCUGUUCUUUUUCUCUGAGAUGCUGUGGACAUUCAGGUAGUUGGGACAAGAGAGAAUGUGCAGAAAAUGGUAAUACUAUAUCCUGAGAUCCCCAGAAGACUGAACUGCCCUUCUGAGUAAGCUUUGAUGCUGCUUCUAGAAUGGCUUUGAAUAAAAGAGGUGGACAAAACUGCUCAAUGGACAACACAGCUA